UUGAUCAUGGCUCAGAGCGAACGCUGGCGGCAGGCCUAACACAUGCAAGUCGAACGGAUCCUUCGGGAUUAGUGGCGGACGGGUGAGUAACACGUGGGAACGUGCCCUUUGGUUCGGAACAACUCAGGGAAACUUGAGCUAAUACCGGAUGUGCCCUUCGGGGGAAAGAUUUAUCGCCAUUGGAGCGGCCCGCGUCUGAUUAGCUAGUUGGUGGGGUAAAGGCCCACCAAGGCGACGAUCAGUAGCUGGUCUGAGAGGAUGAUCAGCCACAUUGGGACUGAGACACGGCCCAAACUCCUACGGGAGGCAGCAGUGGGGAAUCUUGCGCAAUGGGCGAAAGCCUGACGCAGCCAUGCCGCGUGAAUGGUGAAGGUCUUAGGAUUGUAAAAUUCUUUCACCGGGGACGAUAAUGACGGUACCCGGAGAAGAAGCCCCGGCUAACUUCGUGCCAGCAGCCGCGGUAAUACGAAGGGGGCUAGCGUUGCUCGGAAUUACUGGGCGUAAAGGGAGCGUAGGCGGACUGUUAAGUUAGAGGUGAAAGCCCAGGGCUCACCCUUGGAAUUGCCUUUGAUA
rnacentral:rRNA from 1 species